rnacentral:rRNA from 1 species
UUUAUUGGAGAGUUUGAUCCUGGCUCAGGACGAACGCUGGCGGCGUGCCUAAUACAUGCAAGUCGAGCGAACUUGCGGGAGCUUGCUCCCAAAAGUUAGCGGCGGACGGGUGAGUAACACGUGGGCAACCUGCCUGUAAGACUGGGAUAACUUCGGGAAACCGGAGCUAAUACCGGAUAAUUCUUUUCUGCUCAUGCAGGAAAGCUGAAAGAUGGUUUCGGCUAUCACUUACAGAUGGGCCCGCGGCGCAUUAGCUAGUUGGUGAGGUAACGGCUCACCAAGGCAACGAUGCGUAGCCGACCUGAGAGGGUGAUCGGCCACACUGGGACUGAGACACGGCCCAGACUCCUACGGGAGGCAGCAGUAGGGAAUCUUCCGCAAUGGACGAAAGUCUGACGGAGCAACGCCGCGUGAGUGAUGAAGGUUUUCGGAUCGUAAAACUCUGUUGUUAGGGAAGAACAAGUACCGGAGUAACUGCCGGUACCUUGACGGUACCUAACCAGAAAGCCACGGCUAACUACGUGCCAGCAGCCGCGGUAAUACGUAGGUGGCAAGCGUUGUCCGGAAUUAUUGGGCGUAAAGCGCGCGCAGGCGGUUCCUUAAGUCUGAUGUGAAAGCCCACGGCUCAACCGUGGAGGGUCAUUGGAAACUGGGGAACUUGAGUGCAGAAGAGGAGAGUGGAAUUCCACGUGUAGCGGUGAAAUGCGUAGAGAUGUGGAGGAACACCAGUGGCGAAGGCGACUCUCUGGUCUGUAACUGACGCUGAGGCGCGAAAGCGUGGGGAGCGAACAGGAUUAGAUACCCUGGUAGUCCACGCCGUAAACGAUGAGUGCUAAGUGUUAGAGGGUUUCCGCCCUUUAGUGCUGCAGCUAACGCAUUAAGCACUCCGCCUGGGGAGUACGGCCGCAAGGCUGAAACUCAAAGGAAUUGACGGGGGCCCGCACAAGCGGUGGAGCAUGUGGUUUAAUUCGAAGCAACGCGAAGAACCUUACCAGGUCUUGACAUCCUCUGACACUCCUAGAGAUAGGACUUUCCCCUUCGGGGGACAGAGUGACAGGUGGUGCAUGGUUGUCGUCAGCUCGUGUCGUGAGAUGUUGGGUUAAGUCCCGCAACGAGCGCAACCCUUGAUCUUAGUUGCCAGCAUUCAGUUGGGCACUCUAAGGUGACUGCCGGUGACAAACCGGAGGAAGGUGGGGAUGACGUCAAAUCAUCAUGCCCCUUAUGACCUGGGCUACACACGUGCUACAAUGGAUGGUACAAAGGGCUGCAAGACCGCGAGGUUUAGCCAAUCCCAUAAAACCAUUCUCAGUUCGGAUUGCAGGCUGCAACUCGCCUGCAUGAAGCCGGAAUCGCUAGUAAUCGCGGAUCAGCAUGCCGCGGUGAAUACGUUCCCGGGCCUUGUACACACCGCCCGUCACACCACGAGAGUUUGUAACACCCGAAGUCGGUGGGGUAACCGUAAGGAGCCAGCCGCCUAAGGUGGGACAGAUGAUUGGGGUGAAGUCGUAACAAGGUAGCCGUAUCGGAAGGUGCGGCUGGAUCACCUCCUUUCUA